rnacentral:rRNA from 1 species
CAGCAGCCGCGGUAAAACGUAGGGUGCAAGCGUUAAUCGGAAUUACUGGGCGUAAAGCGUGCGCAGGCGGUUAUAUAAGACAGAUGUGAAAUCCCCGGGCUCAACCUGGGAACUGCAUUUGUGACUGUAUAGCUAGAGUACGGCAGAGGGGGAUGGAAUUCCGCGUGUAGCAGUGAAAUGCGUAGAUAUGCGGAGGAACACCGAUGGCGAAGGCAAUCCCCUGGGCCUGUACUGACGCUCAUGCACGAAAGCGUGGGGAGCAAACAGGAUUAGAUACCCGUGUAGUCCCUGUCUCUUAUAU